UACGAAGGGGGGCUAGCGUUGCUCGGAAUUACUGGGCGUAAAGCGCACGUAGGCGGCUUAUUAAGUCAGGGGUGAAAUCCUGGAGCUCAACUCCAGAACUGCCCUUGAUACUGAUGAGCUUGAGUUCGGGGAGAGGUGAGUGGAACUGCGAGUGUAGAGGUGAAAUUCGUAGAUAUUCGCAAGAACACCAGUAGCGAAGGCGGCUCACUGGCCCGAUACUGACGCUGAGGUGCGAAAGCGUGGGGAGCAAACAGGG
rnacentral:rRNA from 1 species